AGUUAUGAACUGGCUCAAUAAGGUGGCUGACGUUGGUAAAGGAAUAGCCAAUGGUGUGUGCCGAACAGUGAAAAUGUGGUGACGGAUGCAGGAUGCAGACAAGUGGAGCUUCAGCAGCAACAACAGCACACACACGCACGCACACACACACACACGCACACAGUCACAUUCAAACAAUUCAAUUCAAUUUAAUAUAGUUCAAUUCAGUAAACUUCAAAAAGCAUAUGCAUACAUGUCUUUCUCUCUCUCUCUCUCUCUCUCUCUCUCUCUCUCUCUCUCUCUCUCUCUCUCUCUCUCUCUCUCUCUCUCUCUCUCUCUCUCUCUCUCUUUCGCUCUCUCUCUUUGUUCUUUGUGGUGUGUUUUUUUUUCUCUAAAUGGUGUGCGUUGAUGCAUGCGUGUGUUUGUGUAUUGUGUGUA